rnacentral:rRNA from 1 species
GGGUUGUGAGGUUAAGCGACUAAGCGUACACGGUGGAUGCCCUGGCAGUCAGAGGCGAUGAAGGACGUGCUAAUCUGCGAUAAGCGUCGGUAAGGUGAUAUGAACCGUUAUAACCGGCGAUUUCCGAAUGGGGAAACCCAGUGUGAUUCGUCACACUAUCAUUAACUGAAUCCAUAGGUUAAUGAGGCGAACCGGGGGAACUGAAACAUCUAAGUACCCCGAGGAAAAGAAAUCAACCGAGAUUCCCCCAGUAGCGGCGAGCGAACGGGGAGCAGCCCAGAGCCUGAAUCAGUGUGUGUGUUAGUGGAAGCGUCUGGAAAGGCGCGCGAUACAGGGUGACAGCCCCGUACACAAAAAUGCACAUGCUGUGAGCUCGAUGAGUAGGGCGGGACACGUGGUAUCCUGUCUGAAUAUGGGGGGACCAUCCUCCAAGGCUAAAUACUCCUGACUGACCGAUAGUGAACCAGUACCGUGAGGGAAAGGCGAAAAGAACCCCGGCGAGGGGAGUGAAAAAGAACCUGAAACCGUGUACGUACAAGCAGUGGGAGCACGCUUAGGCGUGUGACUGCGUACCUUUUGUAUAAUGGGUCAGCGACUUAUAUUCUGUAGCAAGGUUAACCGAAUAGGGGAGCCGAAGGGAAACCGAGUCUUAACUGGGCGUUAAGUUGCAGGGUAUAGACCCGAAACCCGGUGAUCUAGCCAUGGGCAGGUUGAAGGUUGGGUAACACUAACUGGAGGACCGAACCGACUAAUGUUGAAAAAUUAGCGGAUGACUUGUGGCUGGGGGUGAAAGGCCAAUCAAACCGGGAGAUAGCUGGUUCUCCCCGAAAGCUAUUUAGGUAGCGCCUCGUGAAUUCAUCUCCGGGGGUAGAGCACUGUUUCGGCAAGGGGGUCAUCCCGACUUACCAACCCGAUGCAAACUGCGAAUACCGGAGAAUGUUAUCACGGGAGACACACGGCGGGUGCUAACGUCCGUCGUGAAGAGGGAAACAACCCAGACCGCCAGCUAAGGUCCCAAAGUCAUGGUUAAGUGGGAAACGAUGUGGGAAGGCCCAGACAGCCAGGAUGUUGGCUUAGAAGCAGCCAUCAUUUAAAGAAAGCGUAAUAGCUCACUGGUCGAGUCGGCCUGCGCGGAAGAUGUAACGGGGCUAAACCAUGCACCGAAGCUGCGGCAGCGACGCUUAUGCGUUGUUGGGUAGGGGAGCGUUCUGUAAGCCUGUGAAGGUGUGCUGUGAGGCAUGCUGGAGGUAUCAGAAGUGCGAAUGCUGACAUAAGUAACGAUAAAGCGGGUGAAAAGCCCGCUCGCCGGAAGACCAAGGGUUCCUGUCCAACGUUAAUCGGGGCAGGGUGAGUCGACCCCUAAGGCGAGGCCGAAAGGCGUAGUCGAUGGGAAACAGGUUAAUAUUCCUGUACUUGGUGUUACUGCGAAGGGGGGACGGAGAAGGCUAUGUUGGCCGGGCGACGGUUGUCCCGGUUUAAGCGUGUAGGCUGGUUUUCCAGGCAAAUCCGGAAAAUCAAGGCUGAGGCGUGAUGACGAGGCACUACGGUGCUGAAGCAACAAAUGCCCUGCUUCCAGGAAAAGCCUCUAAGCAUCAGGUAACAUCAAAUCGUACCCCAAACCGACACAGGUGGUCAGGUAGAGAAUACCAAGGCGCUUGAGAGAACUCGGGUGAAGGAACUAGGCAAAAUGGUGCCGUAACUUCGGGAGAAGGCACGCUGAUAUGUAGGUGAAGUCCCUCGCGGAUGGAGCUGAAAUCAGUCGAAGAUACCAGCUGGCUGCAACUGUUUAUUAAAAACACAGCACUGUGCAAACACGAAAGUGGACGUAUACGGUGUGACGCCUGCCCGGUGCCGGAAGGUUAAUUGAUGGGGUUAGCGCAAGCGAAGCUCUUGAUCGAAGCCCCGGUAAACGGCGGCCGUAACUAUAACGGUCCUAAGGUAGCGAAAUUCCUUGUCGGGUAAGUUCCGACCUGCACGAAUGGCGUAAUGAUGGCCAGGCUGUCUCCACCCGAGACUCAGUGAAAUUGAACUCGCUGUGAAGAUGCAGUGUACCCGCGGCAAGACGGAAAGACCCCGUGAACCUUUACUAUAGCUUGACACUGAACAUUGAGCCUUGAUGUGUAGGAUAGGUGGGAGGCUUUGAAGUGUGGACGCCAGUCUGCAUGGAGCCGACCUUGAAAUACCACCCUUUAAUGUUUGAUGUUCUAACGUGGACCCGUAAUCCGGGUUGCGGACAGUGUCUGGUGGGUAGUUUGACUGGGGCGGUCUCCUCCUAAAGAGUAACGGAGGAGCACGAAGGUUGGCUAAUCCUGGUCGGACAUCAGGAGGUUAGUGCAAUGGCAUAAGCCAGCUUGACUGCGAGCGUGACGGCGCGAGCAGGUGCGAAAGCAGGUCAUAGUGAUCCGGUGGUUCUGAAUGGAAGGGCCAUCGCUCAACGGAUAAAAGGUACUCCGGGGAUAACAGGCUGAUACCGCCCAAGAGUUCAUAUCGACGGCGGUGUUUGGCACCUCGAUGUCGGCUCAUCACAUCCUGGGGCUGAAGUAGGUCCCAAGGGUAUGGCUGUUCGCCAUUUAAAGUGGUACGCGAGCUGGGUUUAGAACGUCGUGAGACAGUUCGGUCCCUAUCUGCCGUGGGCGCUGGAGAAUUGAGGGGGGCUGCUCCUAGUACGAGAGGACCGGAGUGGACGCAUCACUGGUGUUCGGGUUGUCAUGCCAAUGGCACUGCCCGGUAGCUAAAUGCGGAAGAGAUAAGUGCUGAAAGCAUCUAAGCACGAAACUUGCCCCGAGAUGAGUUCUCCCUGACUCCUUGAGAGUCCUGAAGGAACGUUGAAGACGACGACGUUGAUAGGCCGGGUGUGUAAGCGCAGCGAUGCGUUGAGCUAACCGGUACUAAUGAACCGUGAGGCUUAACCUUACAACGCCGAAGGUGUUU